rnacentral:rRNA from 1 species
UGCAGUCGAACGAUGAACCAUUUCGGUGGGGAUUAGUGGCGAACGGGUGAGUAACACGUGGGCAAUCUGCCCUUCACUCUGGGACAAGCCCUGGAAACGGGGUCUAAUACCGGAUAAUACUCUUGCAGGCAUCUGUGGGGGUUGAAAGCUCCGGCGGUGAAGGAUGAGCCCGCGGCCUAUCAGCUUGUUGGUGAGGUAGUGGCUCACCAAGGCGACGACGGGUAGCCGGCCUGAGAGGGCGACCGGCCACACUGGGACUGAGACACGGCCCAGACUCCUACGGGAGGCAGCAGUGGGGAAUAUUGCACAAUGGGCGGAAGCCUGAUGCAGCGACGCCGCGUGAGGGAUGACGGCCUUCGGGUUGUAAACCUCUUUCAGCAGGGAAGAAGCGAGAGUGACGGUACCUGCAGAAGAAGCGCCGGCUAACUACGUGCCAGCAGCCGCGGUAAUACGUAGGGCGCAAGCGUUGUCCGGAAUUAUUGGGCGUAAAGAGCUCGUAGGCGGUCUGUCGCGUCGGAUGUGAAAGCCCGGGGCUUAACCCCGGGUCUGCAUUCGAUACGGGCAGACUAGAGUGUGGUAGGGGAGAUCGGAAUUCCUGGUGUAGCGGUGAAAUGCGCAGAUAUCAGGAGGAACACCGGUGGCGAAGGCGGAUCUCUGGGCCAUUACUGACGCUGAGGAGCGAAAGCGUGGGGAGCGAACAGGAUUAGAUACCCUGGUAGUCCACGCCGU